UCAUAUUCCCGUUGGGGAAGGAUGAGAACCUUCGACCCGAAGUUCGAGUCGAACGUCAGUGAGACAACGCCAUUUAUGGCGGCCCGCAGGGCAAGGAGCGCAGCGACGCAGUCAUCCUUCCCCCACCACCA
rnacentral:sRNA from 1 species